CACGUACUAUCAGAGUUUGAUCCUGGCUCAGGAUGAACGCUAGCUACAGGCUUAACACAUGCAAGUCGAGGGGCAGCAUGGUCUUAGCUUGCUAAGACUGAUGGCGACCGGCGCACGGGUGAGUAACACGUAUCCAACCUGGCCCAUACUCGGGUAUAGCCUCUCGAAAGGGAGAUUAAUCCCCGAUGUUGUUGUUAUGUCGCAUGAUGUUUCAACCAAAGAAUUUCGGUAUGGGAUGGGGAGUGCGUUCCAUUAGCUUGUUGGCGGGGUAACGGCCCACCAAGGCGACGAUGGAUAGGGGUUCUGAGAGGAAGGUCCCCCACAUUGGAACUGAGACACGGUCCAA
rnacentral:rRNA from 1 species